rnacentral:lncRNA from 1 species
UCAAGUUUGUGAAGCUCUUCUAACAUUACUAGUAGAGAUGGGACAGAGGAAAAGACAUGAACUAUCAAACAAAGAUGAAUGAGUGGCAUAUACAAAGAGAGCAUCCUCCGGCCUCUGGAUAUUGAUGCUUAACUACCUGUUUUCACGAGGCGUUUCAUCUCUUUUUUUUUUUUUUUUUUUUAAAUUGGGGGGAGCGGAAGGGGAAAGGGGGAGGGGAUUACAAUGUGGGGAAUCGAACCCUCACCAAUAAGGUGGGAGUUCAGGUAACUAACCAACUAAGCUACUAAUAUUCCUCGUGCUUCAUCUCUUCAUGUCAUGGUAUGAUAUGUUUCACUUGUUUCCGUUAUAAACUUCCGGUGAAUAGAAUAUAGAAGAAUGUCACAUGCGUAUCGACCCCCGCCCGUCUCCCCCUUUUCUAUUUAUUAGAAAAAAAGGGAAAAGAAGUGUGGCUGGACAAAAAAAGAAGUGAAGAAUGGAGCAAAUAAUUGCCACAUUGUGAUGUGCAUAAAACUCUGUAAUUGUUUUUAUUCUGAUGUGCAGAUUUGGUUCAUCUCUCCGAUUUUCUUUCUUUCCUUGUCCAAUUGUUCUUCCCAAAAUAAUGUGUUUUUGAUAAAAAGUCAUGAAACUUGUCUACUGAAUAUGCUUCAUUUCAUGAAGUGAACGUGGUAGUAAUAUGUGAUAAGUCCG